rnacentral:rRNA from 1 species
UAUGGUUGUGUGCCAGCCGCCGCGGUAAUACGUAGGGGGCUAGCGUUAUCCGGAAUUACUGGGCGUAAAGGGUGCGUAGGUGGUUUCUUAAGUCAGAGGUGAAAGGCUACGGCUCAACCGUAGUAAGCCUUUGAAACUGGGAAACUUGAGUGCAGGAGAGGAGAGUGGAAUUCCUAGUGUAGCGGUGAAAUGCGUAGAUAUUAGGAGGAACACCAGUUGCGAAGGCGGCUCUCUGGACUGUAACUGACACUGAGGCACGAAAGCGUGGGGAGCAAACAGG